rnacentral:rRNA from 1 species
GUGUCGGGUUAAGUCCCAUGAACGAGCGCAACCCCUAUCUUUAGUUGCCAGUCCCGGUUUACCGGGAGGGACUCUAAAGAAACUGCCCGCGCAAGCGGUGAGGAAGGUGGGGAUGACGUCAAAUCAGCACGGCCCUUAUGUCCGGGGCUACACACGUGCUACAAUGGCCGGUACAGUGGGCAGCUCAUGCGCGAGCAUUUGCUAAUCCCUAAAACCGGUCUCAGUACGGAUCGGAGUCUGCAACCCGACUCCGUGAAGCUGGAUUCGCUAGUAAUCGCACAUCAGCCAUGGUGCGGUGAAUACGUUCCCGGGCCUUGUACAC